GCGAGAAUAGCUCAGGUGGUAGAGUACGACCUUGCCAAGGUCGGGGUCGCGGGUUCGUAACCCGUUCUCGCU
rnacentral:tRNA from 1 species